rfam:Neonectria ditissima strain R09/05 contig_14, whole genome shotgun sequence.
GGGGAUUUGGUCUAGGGGAAUGACAUCUGUUUUGCAAUGACUCGACCUCCGAGUCUGAAAAUACAGAAGGUCGGGGGUUCAAUUCCCUCAAUCUCCA